UGUCCGGUCGGCUGGCAGUGGGAUGGCCGCCGCUGUGGAGAUGUCAAUGAGUGCCGGCUGGAGCGAAACGAGUGCCGCAGCGAGCGCGUGCUCUGCAUGAACACGUUCGGCAGCUACCGGUGUAUGUGUCGGCACGGUUACAUCGGAGACUACUACACCGUCGGCUGCAAAACAGAGGAAGAGUACUGUGCGACGAGGUUCCGCGCGGCUGAGACCCGGGCUGAACCCUAAACGGCCGCACCAGCUGCCGCCGCUAGCAGGAGCGGCAGCAGGAGCUGGAGCCCUGUUUGGACCGCGACCGACCUCGGCGCCAGGUAGAAGCUCUCCCCCCGACACCGGUGCUCGAGCGGCUG